rnacentral:lncRNA from 1 species
UUUUGAUUUGCAUGUAUAGUUGUUUGACACUGACAUGUAUUAUGUCCACCUUUAUCUGCAUCAGUCUGUUGGAGGGCCAGGUCAUUAACUAGACUGGCAUGGCCAUUCUGGAGGUGGGCCUUCUCAAUGGCUUCAUCCUGGCUCAGUCUGGGAUCGAGACCAACGACGUGGUUAGGUUGCAAACGUCAAGGAUGCAACGGUUCUCCUCUAUGACUACUUCAAGACCCGUAAAACAAUACUUAAGUUUCAACACACAUUCAAAAUGAGGCAUGAAAGGACUUGGUGGACUUGAUUCGGUAAACAAAUUGUUUUCAUUCUUGAGAGGAAGACGGUAAGGACAUCCCGGUCCUAUUGGAGGUAUGACAUGGACGCCUGCUCAUUCUGUGGGGAAGACUGCCGCCAGCGUGGGGGACAGGGGGCCUAUAUGUCUGGCAGUGUGUCAGUCUCCCACCAUCAUUACCAUGUGGCCACUCUCGCCUGUGCUCUCUUGGUUCUCCUGGCCUGCAGCUUUUAAAAGAUAUCUGUAUAGACUUGUUGUGCCAUUCUGUUGUAAAUGUUGUGUAAUAAUAAGGAAGUUCAAACUGUGAUUUUACUGAAUAGGUUGGGGAAG